rnacentral:rRNA from 1 species
CCUACGGGAGGCAGCAGUGAGGAAUAUUGGUCAAUGGCCGGAAGGCUGAACCAGCCAUGCCGCGUGAAGGUCAGUGCCCUAUGGGCGUUAAACUUCUUUUGUGCGGGAGCAAUAAUGGUCACGUGUGGCCAGACGAGAGUACCGUACGAAUAAGCAUCGGCUAACGCCGUGCCAGCAGCCGCGGUAAUACGGGGGCGGCAAGCGUUCUCCGGAUUUAUUGGGUUUAAAGGGUGCGUAGGCGCCAUUUUAAGUCAGCGGUGAAAGUCUGUGGCUCAACCAUAGAAUUGCCGUUGAAACUGGGGGGUUUGAGUAUGUUUGAGGCAGGCGGAAUGCGUGGUGUAGCGGUGAAAUGCUUAGAUAUCACGCAGAACCCCGAUUGCGAGGGCAGUCUGCCAAGCCAUGACUGACGCUGAUGCACGAAAGCGUGGGGAUCAAACAGGAUUAGAUACCCUGGUAGUC